GGCGGGGUAGCUCAGUUGGUUAGAGCGUCGGAUUCAUAACCCGGAGGUCAGGAGUUCAACCCUCCUUCCCGCUACAA
rnacentral:tRNA from 1 species